AGCGGCGGAUGGGUGAGUAACAUGUGGGGAACCUGCCCCUAAGUCUGGGAUACCAUUUGGAAACAGGUGCUAAUACCGGAUAAUAAAGCAGAUCGCAUGAUCAGCUUUUGAAAGGCGGCGUAAGCUGUCGCUAAGGGAUGGCCCCGCGGUGCAUUAGCUAGUUGGUAAGGUAACGGCUUACCAAGGCGACGAUGCAUAGCCGAGUUGAGAGACUGAUCGGCCACAUUGGGACUGAGACACGGCCCAAACUCCUACGGGAGGCAGCAGUAGGGAAUCUUCCACAAUGGACGCAAGUCUGAUGGAGCAACGCCGCGUGAGUGAAGAAGGUUUUCGGAUCGUAAAGCUCUGUUGUUGGUGAAGAAGGAUAGAGGUAGUAACUGGCCUUUAUUUGACAGUAAUCAACCAGAAAGUCACGGCUAACUACGUGCCAGCAGCCGCGGUAAUACGUAGGUGGCAAGCGUUGUCCGGAUUUAUUGGGCGUAAAGCGAGCGCAGGCGGAAAAAUAAGUCUAAUGUGAAAGCCCUCGGCUUAACCGAGGAACUGCAUCGGAAACUGUUUUUCUUGAGUGCAGAAGAGGAGAGUGGAACUCCAUGUGUAGCGGUGGAAUGCGUAGAUAUAUGGAAGAACACCAGUGGCGAAGGCGGCUCUCUGGUCUGCAAUUGACGCUGAGGCUCGAAAGCAUGGGUAGCGAACAGGAUUAGAUACCCUGGUAGUCCAUGCCGUAAACGAUGAGUGCUAAGUGU
rnacentral:rRNA from 1 species